rnacentral:lncRNA from 1 species
AAAAGGAUUGAGAUGAACACACGGGAUGCCCUGAGAUCUUCAGAGAAGAACUUGUCUGCCCUGCUGAACCAGAUACAUAUGUGCAGGCUGAAUAAAUUUGACACCUUCCGGAAGAUUGUUGUUGAAGAGCUUGCCAGCCUUGAGAAGGAUACUCAAAUUCUGGCAGCUAUGGAGAAGGAAGCACUGGUGUGUACAGCUUCUUGUGUGCCAGCCCAAAAAGGUGCCUCUUCCCAGGUAACAGGGGGUUUCUUUGGGGUCUUUUUAGGAUUUCUGGAACGCGCAGCUGCUCAAACUGAAUACGUUCUACAACCAGCAGAAGGAAAGAAUUGA